CGGCGUGCUUGAUACAUGCAAGUCAAGGAGAACAUUAUCUUCGGAUAAUAAGUAAACUGGCGAACGGGUGAGUAACGCGUAAACAACUUGCCUCAGAGAUUGGGACAACAUUGGGAAACCAGUGCUAAUACCAAAUAAUGCAGCGGGCUCUUCGGAGCACAGUUGUUAAAGUAGGCUUCGGCUUACACUUUGAGAUAGGUUUGCGUCCGAUUAGUUAGUUGGUAGGGUAAAAGCCUACCAAGACCAAGAUCGGUAGCUGGUCUGAGAGGAUGAUCAGCCACACUGGAAUUGAGAUACGGUCCAGACUCCUACGGGAGGCAGCAGUAAGGAAUUUUGCACAAUGGGCGAAAGCCUGAUGCAGCAACGCCGCGUGAACGAUGAAGUUUUUAGGAAUGUAAAGUUCUGUCGUAUGGGAAGAGAUCUUUCGAAUGUUAAUACCAUUCGUUAAUGACGGUACCAUACAAGAAAGCACCGG
rnacentral:rRNA from 1 species